rnacentral:lncRNA from 1 species
AGGAUAGAGAAGAGAGAGAAUCUCAAUCUGGAUUCAAUCAGGGGUCACGGGUCAACCUUGAUCAUUCAACAUGUCUGGCCAUGAAUCAAGAGAGAGAAAUAAGAGAGAAGAAGAUAGAGAAAAUGGGGAAGAGAGAGAAAGGAGAGAGGAAGAGAGAACAAGGUCUCUGUCUAGAUAAGGAAAGAAGAAAGGAGAGGAAGAGGGUGGCUGUGGAUGACGCCUAGGGUUAGGGACCCAUGGUCGGCCAACAAGCAGCUGGCGACUGGUGGCGACUGGCGAUUGGCAACCCCAAACCCACUCAAAACAAGAGUUCCGACUGGCAACCCCAAACCCACUCAAAACAAGAGUUCUGAUCCCAUUUAACCUCGAAAAUCAUGCAUCCCAAUGGCUGAAGCUCUGGCCAUGGUCUCUUGCCACUGCGGGGGAUUGGGGGAAGAG